GAUGAACGCUGGCGGCGUGCCUAAUACAUGCAAGUCGAGCGAACAGAUGAGGAGCUUGCUCCUCUGACGUUAGCGGCGGACGGGUGAGUAACACGUGGAUAACCUACCUAUAAGACUGGGAUAACUUCGGGAAACCGGAGCUAAUACCGGAUAAUAUAUUGAACCGCAUGGUUCAAUAGUGAAGGACGGUUUUGCUGUCACUUAUAGAUGGAUCCGCGCCGCAUUAGCUAGUUGGUAAGGUAACGGCUUACCAAGGCAACGAUGCGUAGCCGACCUGAGAGGGUGAUCGGCCACACUGGAACUGAGACCCGGUCCAGACUCCUACGGGAGGCAGCAGUAGGGAAUCUUCCGCAAUGGGCGAAAGCCUGACGGAGCAACGCCGCGUGAGUGAUGAAGGUCUUCGGAUCGUAAAACUCUGUUAUUAGGGAAGAACAAAUGUGUAAGUAACUAUGCACGUCUUGACGGUACCUAAUCAGAAAGCCACGGCUAACUACGUG
rnacentral:rRNA from 1 species